UUCUACAAUGGAAAAUUUGUUCAAUAGAUUAUCCAGGCCCCUGUUGGCUUUUCUUAAAGUUAUUUUAUUGGGUUCCCAUAGCUACCACCCUUCCAGCCCUUACUCCCCCAACACUAGGUAGGAGAGAAAGUUAGAGUGGAAAUGGGGGUACAGACUUCUUUAGGCUACUUCUGCUGAUUAGGGGCAUGGAGUACCCAGGGACAAUUACAAACUUCAGCAGUCCAGCAAUCCUACAAGCCAGCAAAUGCAACAGCAAAUGCAGGAGCAGAAACCAGCAGGAACCAGCAGGAACCAGCAGGAACCAGCAGGAACCAGCAGGAACCAGCAAGGGGAGCAGCAGCCACCAUAGGUCCUCUGUCUCCAGCAUUUAUACCUUCUCCAGAGUCCCCAGAAUUAAACUACCUGCAGCUGGCAAAGAUCACACCCCUGCUAAUGUACGAGACAAUCACAGUCACCUGCUAUGAAGCAGCCUCUUAUCCCACACCUGGGAAUAAAACAAAAACAUAUCCACAUAGCACAAUUGAGUUUUUAAAGAAACCAAAUUCGGACUACAGUUCCCUCCAUUGCAAAGGAUGCGUGAGUGUGACAUCAUGGCUGGGGUCCUUUGGAAAAGUGAGCCGUGGACUUGGUAUUCAGCCAACAAUAGAUGUCUGAGCCACUGGAAUCAGAAGCUUCAGAUAAGAUGAAGCUCGGUAGUCCUCAGACACUGACGGAGCAGCAGGUGACUCGGGUCACCUGGACCUUACGGGGCUGAGGUCACCACAUCAAACCUCUCAGCAUUUCCUUUCUAGAAUAUAAGGAGUCUUCCCCUUAUACCCGGAGAAAUGUGUUCCAACCCAUUGCUUGUUUCUGAAAAGAAAAUGUGACACUGUGAGAUUUUUAAUAUUUUUAGAUUUUUAAUUAUAUGUGGAUGAUUACACAGGAGCCGUGGUGCUUGUGUGGGGGUCAGAGGACAACUUGUGGGAGUUGUCUCCCUUCCACCAUGAGACUCUGGAACUGAACUAAGGUGGUCACUGUUGGCAACAAGUCGUUUUACUUUGCUGAGCCAUCUUGGCUGGCCUGAGUAUGAGGGUUGCAUUGAGGUUUUGUUUUGUUUUAGCUUUUUACUGAUUCUUUGCGAAUUUCACAUCAUGCACCCCAGUCUCACUCAUCUCCCCUUUCCUCUGUAUCUGCCCUUCACCCUUGCAACCUCUCCCACCAAGAAAAUAUACAUAAAUAAACAAACCACCCUUCCAUGGACGCUGCAGUAUGUCACAGUGUGUCCGUGUGUCACACAGUACACCCCUUUGCCCAAACAACUUUACCUGCAAAUGUUCCUUGCAAUGAGUCUGGUUCAAGGGUCCUGGCUUCUGCUACACUAUCAAUACCAGUUCCUUACCAGGGUUCCUCUCAGAUAUCCUGCUAAUGCCCUGCUUCAUGGAGAUCCUAAAGCUUUGGAUCUGCAGGACUGGCCCCUUCACAUGCUCAAGCAGUUCAUAGAUGGAGUAGGUGUUGGGGUGGACCAACACAAAACCCUGGAUCUGAGCAUGGGUGGUAGCUGCCCUCUAGCUCUUCCUCACUCAUGUCACUGGGACAAGAGCUCUAAUGCUGCCCCAGUGGGGGGAACCUAGCCAGAGGGGAAGGGGCCUGUUUUCCUGUUCUCACAUCCUUGGGGCUGGCUUUUCUGUGCUUCCCAGGCAAAGUGUGGGGCCAGUCUCCCAAGUGCUGUAGCCAGUGAUUGACAAGAGAUGCAGCCAGCUCUCCUGUCUGCCUCUGGGACAGCAAGGGGGUGGGGACAUCUCUUCUACUCGCUUGCCACUGCAUGGCCAGCCAGCUCUCCCAUGCUCAUGUCCCCAGGGGCAGCUUUCCCCGAUGCACGAUCCCCAUCGCCAGGGCCAGCUCUACUGUGCUGCCCAGGUAAGGAAUGGGAUCAGCUCUCCUGAGUGCCUUAGGUAGUGAGGCAUGCAAAGCCCGCAUUUACCUGAGAUGUCCAUAUGGCCUUUGGUGUAACAUGGGCCACAGACAUCUACACAGACCCUGAUGUUACUGGGUCAUGGUGUCAGACAGAGUGGCAGCACAGGCCAGGACUUCACCAUGGCCUCAGGUGCUUGGGCAGGCCACUCACAGCAGGCUGAUCCUAUUCACUCUCAAGUCUCCAGCUCUGCUCUUCAUUGUGCUCAAACUGCCCUGCUUCUCUUCCUCUCCCAUCUCUCCACUAUAUAGUGCCUCACUGUAGUGGUGUCUCCGCCCUUACCACGUGGUGGCAGGCCUCUGGGUGUUCUGGGCCUGCCUUGGCAGUGUGGCAGUAGGUGGGCCUUUCUAGAAGGGGUUUAAAGCUAUAUAUUUACAGUUAAAGACCACGUAUUUCCCUGAUAACUGCAGAUGUUAUUUUCUAUUCUUUAUUAAGAUUUUUUAAAAAAAUGUAGCUGCUCACUCUCUGGAUUCUGACAUGUCCCUUCUCUUUUGAGGCAAGCUUGGCCUCCAUAUUACUAGGUGGCCAAAGAUGAAUUAUUAGUGUCCUAGUGCUGAGAUUAUAGGCCUACUCCACCACACCCACUUCCUGUGAUGUUGGGGACUGAAUACUUUUGGGGUUAGAUGCCCAAAGAAAGGGACCUUUUUUUCUAAGAGAGGUAGAUUCUGAAACAAUAACCACCCCUUGUGAUAAAAUUUUAAGUUUCCAUAAAACAGCAUUUAGAAAAGCAGCAUCACCUCUAGAAUACUUGUGACAAGUGUCUCCCCAAUACCAUUACUGUGAAGUAUUUCCUUCAGGCUCCCGAAAGUGUGACUUGCUCUGAAUUCGCUACUUUAAGGUGACACUCAUAUGUUCAGCCUCUCAAAGCGUGGUUUUCAAGGCUCUGCCAGAUGGUCCCUUCAGAAUAAAUGCAUUCCACAUGAUAAUGUUUAUAUUUGUGUUUCUGGCAUGAAUUAAUACUCUUCUCGUGAUAUUUAAUAAAAACCAGAUUAUUUCAUUUCUGUCUCAUGAAACACAGUACCUUUCCAUUCUGUCUGGUGAAGGUUAUUUGUCUUCUGUUGGUGAAGGGGCAGCCAGUGCGGGCUCUCCGGAGGAUGAAGCCCUUUCUCUUCAGCCGGAGCGGCAUGUAGCCAAGAAUGAUUUGAGAUUCAUCUCUCUCCAUGAAGACUGCGUUAGCCUCAGUGAGUGUGGCAAGAGGCCAGGGAGCCACCAUGGACAUCCUUUUAGCUCCUAGACUUUCCUUCUAGCUAAUAUUCUGGGCACAGAGGCUGUGUCUGGAGUCUAGAGGUAUUCAUCCUGUUUGCAGAAAAACGAUCACAUUCCCAGCAAAGCCUCUACUUUUUCAGCCUGGAAUUCUUCUAAUUGCAGCCACGGCAGGAGGCAACUCCCUCCCCUUUGACUUCUGUUUUGUCUUUCUAUGGAUUUUUUGCAUGUAGGAGGAAUGGUACUGAGUUCCAGCCAUGCAGCCUGCUCUGUUUCUUGAGACGUCUUUGGCUGAUGAACACUGGUUCUGGCAAUGAAAACUGAGAACUAAUGGAUCCCUAGGGGACAGGGCCAUUGGCUUUCCUCCUCCUGUGCUGCCUGUCGACAUGAACACCUGAUGUGUUGUCCAGUUUGAAAUCCAACUCUCUAUGGGUUAGAAAUGGAAGACCUACAGCUUCAGAAAGAAGUAGCUGAGGGUCUUGGUGGAUCACUCAGUCUGUGAACAGGGCAAGCGGGGCUUCUGAGGUGUCUGGGGGGAAUCAUCACAUAUCCCGAAACCCAGGCCAUUUGCCUACUUGGCUAAUUGUUAUGCUUCACAAAACGAAGCCCGUUUGUGAGAAGGCCUCUUUUAUUCUGAGGGAACUUUAGUUGUUAGGAAGUGUCUGAAGCAUUUGCAGUUGAUGCUUCUUUGAGAGCAGCCUGCACCUCUAUGGGGAUUACUCCUUUACCUUGGGAUUCCACUCACAGGUUCUGAGCAGCCCUUGGGAAAGGUUUGGUUUGACAGUCUCUGUCUGCUGGAAGUAUAGCUGAAAUUCCACCCUCUUCUGUGUACCCUGAGCGACUCCUGGACGUCCUUCCUCACCAUGGACUGAGCACACUGAGGGGCCCACCGAGGUGUCCCUUUCCCUUCAAACUGAUCACAGUACCCACCUGUACUCAGAACUGUGGCGGGUACUCAUCAAACCUAAGCAUCCCCACUCCACCCUGCUCCAAUCCCCUCCCCAGGAACCAGGGCCUCUGAUAAAUGGUCAGGUAUUAAUGGUGGUAGGCACGAAGCAAGCCAUUGAACACAAAUACGUUACAGAACUCGCGGCCAUGAGGUCAGGCGUAUUUAUGGCACAACAUACCUAUGCAUCUAUGUUUGGUUAUCAGAAGAGUGGCUGGCUUGGGGGCAGCCAGUCCGUAGAUGAAGAUGCCUUCUGUCCUGAACACUCUGCUCUUAGACCACUCCUUAAAUCUACUGGAAGCCCAUUUCAUAGGAAAUGAUUUCCAAGUUGAUGUGUGUUUUCUGUACACUGCAGGGUAUUCUCAAUUACAGGGAAGAUAUGCAGCAGCUACUGUGCCUAGGAAAAACAAAGCAAAACAAGAAUGUGUGCAGCAAACGGGAAGGCACUUGGGCUGGGAAUGCUAAGGACAGAGCACACUUGCUUUAUUAUUUUCCAGAAAGGCUUGGGGAUCCUUAAACAAACCUGAUAAUUGGGUCGCUAAAAGGAUGUUGCACCUGUAAACUGUUAUUGAGUAAAAAUGAAGAUGGAAAUAGUGAUUAGUUGAUGAUUCGUUUACACAAUGGCUUUUUCUGUGGAAUUACAAUUAAAGAAUAUAUUGGAUCACUUUAAAUGUUAGACUGAAGUGGCACACAAUUUUUUUAAAUAAGCAAAGGACUUUAUAUUCAUAAGCAUACAAGUUGCGAGCCAGUCCAGACAUUCUCAUCUAUUGUUUUAUGUUUUUAUCAAUUGCUCUGGAUUCACAGGCAGAGAUGGAACUUUAAGAUGAAUUUAAAAAAAUAUUUUUUAGUAGUUGCUAUGGUCUUCAUUUCCCAUUUUUGGUCUCAGGUAAUUUCUUGGGUACCUUCCCUUGAUUGACAAACCAUGGCUCCUUGCACUUGUAUAUGCUAUAUUUAGCUUGCAGACUAGACUAUUCCCCCUCAUUAAAAUCUCCUGGUUGCUGAACUUCAUUAAGACAAAUGGAUUCAUCUGUAUUUUCACUCCCUUUGGCUAUGAGGUCAAUACAUGAUGUCAGCAGGAAAGGGUAAGGAUGCUGAGCGCUCUGAAACACUUCUAGAGAAGCUCAGAGAGGAGCCAGCUGCCACGGCCCUGCCAGGAGCAUUAUGCUCUCGGCUUUAAGAAACAUUUGCGACUUGCACGGUAGCCGUGUGCAUUAAUAGCCUCAGCUGUUCAAGACCUGCACUCUGCAACAGUUAUCACUGGCACUGGACCCUGUACUCAGAGAACAUGGGAUCCAGCAGAAAGACAACAGAACAAGGAAAGAUGAAUGAACGCUGAGCCCACAAGUAGGCAAGGAUGGCAACCAAGAAAGAAAUAGAAGCCAGAGUAUAGCCAACCUUUUUUUUUCUUUUAAUUAGAGUAUAUUAUACUUCAAACUUGAUACACUAGAAAUUGGCAAUGCAACGUAAGAUGCAGAGGAAAAUACCAGUUACUGUCAAAAUGACCCUGUACAGCCUUGUAAUGCAAAAGCUUUUUACAAUACAAAUUUUCAGUAAUGUACACAAACCUUGACAGUAUGAGCGUCUGAACAUAAUAUGAGGAGUUAAAAAAAAAGAAAGAAAGAAAGAAAGAAAGAAAGAGAGAGAGAAAGAAAAGAAAGGACAGGAGAGAGAAAGUGCUUAGAACCCUACCUGCAUCACUAAAUGGAAAGCAAGCCAGCUCUCCUGGGAGAACACAUAGUGAGAACCCAAAGUUGCUAGGCGACUUUCUCAAAGGUGUUAGUGUUUCCAUGGGAAGGAAAUCUACAGAACGCAUCCUUCCCUGAGCAUCAAACUGCAAACCAGAUUCGGGGGCACAUUUUAUCUAGGUGGACUCUGAAAAAUGCUGUAGAUUUUCUUUUUUUUUAUUAAUAACAACAACAAUAAUAUAAAAAGUCAAACAAACUGCAAACACACGUUUUCUCACUCAGAAAACUUUUUAUAAUUUACCAGAAAGAUUGGUGACUCUUUCCAAAGUGCUAAAAAAGUUGCCCAAUUACAUUAAGCAUUACUAAGUCAUUCAAAUACAGGUUCAGUGGCAAGCAAUGAAAUGCACGGCAUUUGAGCAGUAAGCGUCUCCGCCCACCUCCCCUCUCGCACGGUCCCACCAGAAGACCUCUUAUUGCACAAGUGACAUGCUGUAAAACCUAGGGUCCUCGUGGUCAGGGACACCCAUUCAGGUUCUUAACCUGCUGGUGCUUCUGUGAGUCACCUUUCUGCCAGCCUCUUGGGGGUGGGGGUGGGGUCACUGCAGUUCCCUCUCCCUUAUCACUGAACCUGCAGUUUUGAAAACAUUAUUAGCCAAAUGGCACAUUCUCCAUUAAAUGGGGAUAAAGACAUAACUUUAAAA